GUGAAUCAUCGAAUUUUUGAACGCAAAUUGCGCUUCCUGGUAUCGCGGGAAGUAUGCCUGUUUGAGGGUAAGUAUUAACAAAAAAUCGGUUGGGUUGCAAAUUGUGAGGUUUCCGGAGUUUGGGCUUAUUUUAAUUUUUUUGGGUAAGGGGCUUAAAAUUGACCUUUUUUGAGUAUUUGUAGACGUACAUAAAUUUUUGUUUAGUCGUCUAUUAUUAAUGCCAAAAUCUUAGUAGAUGCGAUCAAAUAGUGUGGCUUCGUGUACAUAAAAUUUGAAUGAUUUGACAUCAAAUCAGGUAGGG
rnacentral:misc_RNA from 1 species